rnacentral:hammerhead_ribozyme from 1 species
AUCCGGAUGACGUGUUCCAAAUAGGAUGAAAUGCGCAUCCAUUGGAU